rnacentral:rRNA from 1 species
AUUGAACGCUGGCGGCAGGCCUAACACAUGCAAGUCGGACGGUAACAGGAAACAGCUUGCUGUUUCGCUGACGAGUGGCGGACGGGGGAGUAAUGUCUGGGAAACUGCCUGAUGGAGGGGGAUAACUACUGGAAACGGUAGCUAAUACCGCAUAACGUCGCAAGACCAAAGAGGGGGACCCUCGGGCCUCUUGCCCUCGGAUGUGCCCAAAUGGGAUGAGCUUGUUGGGUGGGUAAUGGCUCACCAAGGCUACGAUCCCUAGCUGGUCUGAGAGUAUGACCAGCCACACUGGAACUGAGACACGGUCCAGACUCCUACGGGAGGCAGCAGUGGGGAAUAUUGCACAAUGGGCGCAAGCCUGAUGCAGCCAUGCCGCGUGUAUGAAGAAGGCCUUCGGGUUGUAAAGUACUUUCAGCGGGGAGGAAGGGAGUAAAGUUAAUACCUUUGCUCAUUGACGUUACCCGCAGAAGAAGCACCGGCUAACUCCGUGCCAGCCGCCGCCGUAA